rnacentral:rRNA from 1 species
CCUACGGGGGGCUGCAGUGGGGAAUAUUGGACAAUGGGGGGAACCCUGAUCCAGCCAUGCCGCGUGUGUGAAGAAGGCCCUCGGGUUGUAAAGCACUUUCAGUGAGGAAGAACGCCUGGUGGUUAAUACCCAUCAGGAAAGACAUCACUCACAGAAGAAGCACCGGCUAACUCCGUGCCAGCAGCCGCGGUAAUACGGAGGGUGCGAGCGUUAAUCGGAAUUACUGGGCGUAAAGCGCGCGUAGGUGGCUUGAUAAGCCGGUUGUGAAAGCCCCGGGCUCAACCUGGGAAUGGCAUCCGGAACUGUCAAGCUAGAGUGCAGGAGAGGAAGGUAGAAUUCCCGGUGUAGCGGUGAAAUGCGUAGAGAUCGGGAGGAAUACCAGUGGCGAAGGCGGCCUUCUGGACUGACACUGACACUGAGGUGCGAAAGCGUGGGUAGCAAACAGGAUUAGAUACCCUAGUAGUC